CAUGAGAGCGCAUCCGAAUCAGUCAGGAAAUACUUGAUACCGUAAAGUGUUGUGUACUCGCGCACACAAAUUCAGGAGGAGGCUGAAGCGCGGAUGGCUUGACUGCGUUUUGCAAGCAACGGGUAGACGUCUAGAUUGAAUCAAAUUAUUCCACACUUUUUAUUUGCGUUUGUAUGAUUCCAUUGCGCCACAGACAGAAGGACCGCUUUCCCCACAGUGCGUAAGUGAACCAAUUUUUUUCGUGAUCUAUUGAGUGAGGCAAAUUAAUUUUUGACCUAACUUCUGAGUUAUUGGAUUACUUGGUGGGGGGGCAACGGGAACUGGCAAUGGGAGCGUGCCUUUGCUGUGCCUUGUACAUUUUUACAGCCUGGUGCCAAGGGACAACAAAAACAUGGGUAGCGGUAGUAGUCGAGGAAAGAAGGUUGCACCUGCGAGUGUCAACGAGAUAAAAGCAUUCAAAAGAGAUGACAACACAGCCCAUGUUUCGAAAGAGGAAAGUCACUUGUUCAAACUAUUGAAGAAACCCAAAUUGACGAACUUAAAUCAGUCACGAAACAUAACGCAACAACUAGACUGCCACAGUGAAGGACACGACUCGGAAUUUUCAGCAGAGGACGAUGACAUUGAUGUGGAACUGUACCGGGUUCUAGAGGAAUAUGACAAUCGGGAAUUGCGUUCCAAAAGGAAAACUUUUGCAAAGAUGCUUUUAAUCGGGUCAGACUCGAAUGGAUUCUGUCAUUCCAGACGGGUCUACAAUGAAAGCGAUUUCAAUUCAACCCCUCACUUGCAAAGUUCCGAGUUGUCGGAAGGGACGGGGGCACAUUGUCCAUAUAACGGUUCUGUAGGAGUCAUCAACAAGGACAAGAAUGUCUUUCACCACUUUUCCAAAGAUACACACAUUCAGUUCCCAAGCGGCACUCAGGAAAAUGACUUCUUGACAAAGGGGACUUGUGUGAAGUCAGUGCCUCGCACAGAAUCAGACUCAGUCCCUGACGAUAGCCAUGGCCCCUCUCUUUCCAUGCCCGUCAUCCUGUAUGAUGGAUCAGAAGUGGACCUGAUGGAGACCAUAGAGAGAGAGUUUAGUUGACCCCACAGGAGAGACUGGUGGCAACCUGCUCACAUUUCCUGCAUUCACUUUUGGAGAAGCACAUUGCUCAUUUUAAAGAUGUACUAUGUUGCUAAAAUUCUAAUAGUUCGCCUAAUUGCAGUUUAUGUGUCAAAACAAGCAAGUUUAGUGUAAGGAAUCAUUGUACCAUCUAAAUCGCUGUGAAAUAUAUUUUCCUUAACCACAAAUAUAGUAUUUUCAGCUGUUUGAAGCUGUACAAAACCGCAAGUAAAAGACACGAAAACUAAACUAAAGAACGGGAAGCAUAGAAUUGGCGCAAAUAGAACAGAUCUACCACUCCUUAGACUUGCUUUCGAUGACAAUGACAGAUCUAUGACACAAAUUUCUAUGUGAAUUUGGUCGGGUCGCCCCAAAAUGUACAUAUUGCCGCUUUAAAGUCUAAAAUGGCAGGAUAACUUUUGAACCAAAGAGUUGUUUUGUUGUUAUGAAUUGAUGAUAGGUGCUGUUUCAGUCAGUUGAAAAUCAAUACUGCAUUUGCAGCACCAUGCAGGGCACCCACCACCAACUAAUUUACUAAACUAUGAAUUAUCUCCAUGGUUAUGUCUGUCAAUGGCUAAUAGACAGAACCAGCCAUGUCCAUGUGGAAUUCAACAUCAAAUCGGACCACAAUAAUGCUGAAGAAACAAUUCUUUCCACGGUCUUAUAAAUAUUUGUCAUUGAGCAAUGUACUUGUGGUUUUGUAUUCUUACUGUUGCAUAAUGUUAGAGUAUAACAGCUGAAGGACGUUGUACUCAUUUCCACAAGGCUUAUGGGCAUGCUAUACUAGUAGAAGGAAAGGCAUAUUUUUUCUCUCCAUGCCUACUUUUGAAAGGUAUGUGCUAGAUUUGUGUAUUUAUGUUUCAUUUCCUGACCACAAUUCCUGCGGUCUUUCCACCCUUCCUCAGAAGGAAUAUACAGCAGCAGUGGUGAUUUUAAAAUUCAGAUAUUGACUGGCCAAACUCAAUCAACAAAGCUCAUAUGCAUCGAAACCAGUACACUACACUGGCAACACAUUGAAUGCACUUAUAACCAAUCCGAGAAAUGAGGUUUGAGCCACAUACACAAACUUUAUAACAUUUGGGUUAUGAUCAGUGUAUGGCUACUUCCGAUAUCUUUAGCUCUUUGCACAGAAGGCCACUGUAGUCGAGUAUACUGUUAUGGAGUAAACUAGCUAGUCAUCGCUCUGCAAUAUAACAACACUUUGCAUGUCUGCCUGCCUGUUACAAAAUAACCCGGUUAACAGUAUGCAACAUUGAUAACGCUAUUGCUUCGCUUCAUCUAUUGCACAGUUACAGUUUGGAUAUGAUAUAUUAUAUAUAUUAUUGUGACAGGAAAUAACAGAUUUGCAUGCAAAUCUCUUGGAUAUUGGUGGCGCUCCGCUCCACCUGCCUCACGUGAUGAAUUGGCAGCAGGAUUUUAGAGGAGCUCAAUGUGGCCCCUUUUUUGGCAACUCACUUUCCACUGAAAGAGAGAAAUCCAGUCACAGAUCUUCAGUUCUACUACCCCACUGUGGUGAGAUACAGGAAUUGCAUCUGCACACAUACCCAUUUACACGCAAUAUAUUGAAUUGGAACACUGAUAUAUGUGUUGAAUUUGUCCCUUCCACAAUGUGAUAUUUCCAAAGUGGCUUAAUUUCAGAUUGUGACAUUCACUCCCUCAAUGGUUGAGGGAAUUAAUGAGGUAGAGAUUUGCAAUGUAGUAUUUCGUAGUAAAUGGUGGUCAACAGGAUGUACUAAAUACUGUUUAUUACAUCUGUCCUCUUAUAUUUCAAUCUGCUUAUAUGUUCUAAUAAUGAAAAUAGACAUUUUACAACACAGAUUUACAUAGUCCAUAAAUCCCAAGUGGGAUGAACUCCCGAGUGGUGCAGCUGUCUAAGGCACUGCAUCUCAGUGCUAGAAGCAUCACUACAGACCUUGGUUUGAUUCCAGGCUGUAUCACAACCAGCCGUGAUUGGGAGUCCCAUAGGGCAAUGCACAAUUGGCCCAGCAUCGUUAGGGUUUGGCCGGGGUAGGCCGUCAUUGUAAAUAACAAUUUGUUCUUAACUGACUUGCCUAGUUAAAUAAAAUAAAAAACAUUUAAAUGAUUUAUUAUACCUCUCACAUGGAAAGCUUUGAAUAAAUAAAUAAACUAGCUAUGGCUAUUAUAUUGUGUUGAUGUCAAUUUAAUGUAUUAAUAUACAUGCAUGAUUUAUUAAGAAUGCACCUGUCACAGCUGUGUGGAGAGACGGACCAAGGCGCAGCGUGCUCUGAGUUCCACAUAUUUUAUUAAGUGAAACUUUGAACAAAACAAAUAAAGAAACAACAAACCGUGACUUCAGAGGUGCUACAUGCACUAACUCAAAACAAGAUCCCACAAAACACAGUAGGGAAAUAGCUGCCUAAAUAUGAUCCCCAAUCAGAGACAACGAUAAACAGCUGCCUCUGAUUGGGAACC
rnacentral:lncRNA from 1 species